AACGAACGCUGGCGGCAGGCCUAACACAUGCAAGUCGAGCGGGGUGCUCCUUUCGGGGGGUUACCUAGCGGCGGACGGGUGAGGAACACGUGGGAACAUGCCUUUCGGUACGGAAUAGCCUCGGGAAACUGGGAGUAAUACCGUAUGUGCCCUUCGGGGGAAAGAUUUAUCGCCGAGAGAUUGGCCCGCGUUGGAUUAGCUAGUUGGUGGGGUAAGAGCCUACCAAGGCAACGAUCUAUAGCUGGUUUGAGAGGAUGAUCAGCCACACUGGGACUGAGACACGGCCCAGACUCCUACGGGAGGCAGCAGUGAGGAAUAUUGGACAAUGGGGGCAACCCUGAUCCAGCCAUGCCGCGUGAGUGAAGAAGGCCCUAGGGUUGUAAAGCUCUUUCAGAUGUGAAGAUGAUGACCGUAGCAUCAAAAGAAGCCCCGGCUAACUUCG
rnacentral:rRNA from 1 species